UGAGAGUCGUGUCGUUUACUCGAAGUGAUCGUGUGGUGUUACUUGACGAGAUAGUCAGGCGGUAUUCUAAAACACGACGUACAAGCAAACAGCGACAAAUACAGCUACAAACGUGAGUGCAUUUCGUGAGACUGUGAGAAAGAAAACGAACAGAGCGUUUCACGGAGCGCACACCGACGGUGGAGCUUCGAUUUCACAUACUGUUUUUUCACUGAAAACAAAAAACCAUAGCGCUACACUGUGUAUGGUACACGAGCGAUCCAAGAUGCUGUCGUCAGUGCCAGCGAAAUAAUAAUGUGGUGCGACGUUAGUCAGGAAUUGGAAGAUUUACAUUGCCGGCGUUACUCGUACAAACUUCCCAUCGCUAAUUACCAACCAACGACGGGAUCGAGCAAUCGAGUUGUGCAAUGAUGGGUCUGCAGGCCACGGCAGGGAAACGUAAACUGGAGGGAGGUGUGGGCUGCAUGGAGUUCGACAUGGAUAUGGGCGAAAGCCCAUCGAAGUUAGGCCGAGUGGAGGGUAGCUGGUGGGCGAUGGAGGAUAGUUACACGCCCCCGCUUAGCCAAACACCGGCUUCUUAUUACGAUAUGGAAGUGAGUCCGCCUUGCCUGCAGACAAAUCCUUGUCAACCAACAUCGACGAGUCCUCAACAACAGCAACAACAACAGCAACAUCAGACGGCACAGCAACAACAGCAACAAUCAUCGACGCCAACAUCAGCGCCUCCACCGUCUACGGUGGCGCACCUACACCAUCAUCCGCAGCACUACUAUCACCAUCAACGCGGACCUACUAGUCCGGUCGGUAAUAAUGGUUACAGUCAACUGUCGAGGCCUCAGCCGCAAUGGGGAGCGCCUCAUCAUUAUGAACCUCCAACGAUACGGCGAGAAGAAAACGGAAAAAGUUAUUUGGAGCUUGGAUCUAGUUAUCGAGCAAAUGAUAGAUGCUGCGAAGGUUCGAGGUCAAGUUGGUGUCGACGUGGCAGAGCGUGUUAUAGACAAAGACGACUAGCCGUAUUAAAUAUUUCAAUGUGCAAGCUGGCGAGGUAUCGCCAAUUUCCAGAUCCAAGCCUUCAUCGAUCGGUUCUCAUCUGCAAUACAUUGAGGCAUCUAGAACGCGAAAUGGAGAGGGACAGAAGUCCACCGCCCAUGGAGCCAGUUAUACCAGCACCUAUUGCUCAACUUCAACCUCCUGAGCAGGGCAGGUUAACGCCAUUUCCAAUGCCACCAACGUCUUCAAACGAGACAGACGUCGAUUCUGGUAUCGGUGAUAGCGAUGAUAGUCGUUCGAUUAACUGGGGCAGUGUGCUAUCUCUUUCGAGUCAGUCGCCCUUAGAUCCACUAAACAACAACGAGUUACUGGAUGUCGAUAUUGGUCCGGAUCUAGAUUUAGACUUCAUGCCUGGAUGGAAAUUGACACCUCUAUCUGCGGACGAUAUUCUUAGGAGUACAACGGCGCAAGAACAGCAACAUCAGCAACAUCAUCAUCAUCAGCAACAGCAACAGCAUCUGGUGUCAACCAGCGGUAGCUGUGCCAAUAGCAAUGUGGCCAGUGCCUGCGUUAGUACUGGAAGUAGCAGUAGUACGCACGAAUCGUUAAUGUGCGUUGGAUCAUAGCCCCCAAUUUUGACAUCGUUGAGUCAUCUCAUCGAUUUUUACCCAUUGAUGCCGCAGAGCAAAUAAGUAUGCGGCAUUUACAAAGAACCACAAAUCAAGAUGUAGAGACGACGCAGUCGCCCGCCUCACGAAUUAUUUGCAACGCCUGGUCGGCGAUUCUCCAGGAGGUCUUCUUUUUCUUAUUUAUUACCAUUCGUGUCAAUUACGCACCGAUCGAUUAUCUCGGUUACGUUCUACUUCGUAUUACACCGGUAACCAGCAUGGGUGGUCUACUCCUUAUGGACGAGGAGGUAUGAGACGUGAUACCUCCUGUGUUCGCAGGUGCAACUGGUGCAGAAUUCAUGGCCCAUUGGAAAUAUUUAAAAUUCAAAGGAAAUAGAGUUAACGAACAACGCGAGAUCGGGUCCUCCUCCGGAUCAUCAUCAACGACCACCUCAAAACGAGCCUGGUUAUACUAUAUCGAAACGAUCUGUUUUUGCAGCUGCACCUGCGAAUUCAGCGGCACAUGUAUGAGUUCCCGAGUCGCUCGAAAUGUCGCCACCGGCACGUCAGACAGAAAGAAAUAGAAUGAGAGAAUGAAAAAAGAGGGAGAAAAGGGGGGGGGAAGAGCGAGAGAAAUAGAGUGAGAGAGCGACAGGGAAAAAGAGAGAAAGUGAAAAGAGCUCAAUGUUCACGCCCCCGGGCCGGCGAUACGGUAGGACAAGUACCUACAGGACCUAUGUAGCCUUCGACUCUUUAAAACAACGAUGACAAACGGCACGGUACUUCGACAGACUGGAAAAAAAAUUUCUUCUUCUUUCUACAUUUCUUGAUUUUCUUUUAAUUUUUUUAAUUUUUUUGUUUUUCCUUUUUUUUUUUUACAAUUGAUUCAAACAGCACGAUAUCGCUUGCCUAGCUGGCUGACGUUGAGAACUCUUCGGCGAUGCCUUGGCGUCGUUUGCGACAGCCAAUCGAAAAGGGAGUGUCCAUCAUCAUCGAUCGCUGUUUUCUCUUUGGAUUAGAAAGACUAUCCAGGCGACGAUUAAUUAAUGCCAUACACUGUAACACACUAACGAUACAUUACACGCGUAAGACAUAACCGCCGUGGCCUAUACCGUACACUGAUAAAUACAUACACGUACACACGCGCGUAUACACCCAUAUAUAAAUAUACAUACAUAUGUAUAUGUACAUCAGACAGAUAUACAGGUUCGUACACAGAAAAGUCGAUAUAUGGUGCUAGGACGAUCACACCCUGGUGCUUAAUUCUGUACACACAGAGCCAUGUGCGUAAAUUCGCACGGAUCGCCUGCAGCCUUCGUCGAGGAGUCUAGAUACGUCCUGACGUCGUGAACAGAACAUAGAUGGUCGAACAUAUUUCCAUUGUGUGAUAUCCGAUACGAAGCGAAAUUAAUUAUAGUAGCAUCAAUAUCGUUCCUGAAUUCUCGAAGGCUUUCGACGAUUAUUAAGGGAAUAUCAUAUGCCGAUGGAUGGAGAUAUGUUAGUGAAAAUGCGUACUAUGUUCUGACGCACGAUGCUAACAAAUGUACCUGCAUUUUAGAGAUCGGGAUAAAUAUCGGUUCCUUCGUAUCAUCGCACGUAGGCCACUGCGCGCCACUGAUCUCCCGUUAAUAAUAUGUACCAUAAUACUAUUGUAAAAUAGAGUGGCCGACGAGCAAAGAACGAAGGGAGCCAAUAAUUCACUUGGAGUGUGGAACGGAGAGAUUAUUAAGAGAGAAGAAAAAAAAAAAAAAAUAAUAAAAUAAAACUCGACGAUACGCACUUCGCGAAGAGGAAUGGCGAUCCGCGCGCGAUCUCGUCCUCAACGUCCACUAACUGAACUCAAAAGAGCAGCUAUACUUAAAUCGAAAUUAAGCGUUGUAAAGCGGAUUUAAAAACGAACGAUAAAGCGAUAUACAAUAAUUUAUAAAUCGACUGAUUACUUGUGUGAGGGAAUGAAAAAAGAUAGGAAAAAAAGAAAAAACAAGAGAGAAAGAAACGAAAAAAAGAAAACUCUACUGGUAACGUUUCACGAGUUGAUUUAAAACUGUAAUUAAUUCAAUAUUAAGCCGACAUAUACAUUAACACGAGACAUACCAUACAAAAAAAUCCAUUCGUAACAUACGAUAUUUGUAUACAGAAAUACAAGGAACACGAAAUGUACAUGUUUAUACAUGAAAUACAUUAGAUACUUCGAUGUAUAUAGAUACACACUACGUACUAAGUCUAAUAAUUGUUAACGCGAACUCAAGUGAAUUUUCGGCAGUUUUCAUUUUUUCGUUCUUGUUUUCUAUUUUUUUUUCUCUCUUUUUUUCAAUUGUUCAUGUUAAAAAUUUUUAAUUUUCUGAUUUUUAUUCUAUUAUCAUCUUAUAUUCGAUUCAAUGUUGAUUUAUGCCACACUAAUCGUCUCAUCUCUAUUUCGUUCAUUAGUUCCUUUCUCAUUUUGUACAAAAAGAAAACAACGAGCAAUAUUACUUUAACGGUGCAGAAAAUCUAGGAGAAAAAAAAUAUAAGUGUAUCGAUUUCGAAUGAUAUGUGAACUUUUUCAAACAUGUAAUGGGGACAAAUUUCUGUAUGUAAAACUAUGCUCGAUUGAAAUAUAAAUGUGAGAACAUAGUGGAAAAUACUACAAAAUAUUGGAAAAAUAAUAAUAAUAUGUAUGGAUCAAUAAAAAUUUAAACUUCAAUUUUCAUCAAUUUUCAUAAUCAAAGAUAUUUUAACGAAGUAUAAAAAAAUAAAGAAAGAUGUUCUCAUUACGAUUUUUUAAGAUUGCAAAUCAUUCGAGUUCUGUGCACAAUUCUAUUCUACAACCGCAUGAAAAUGUUAAAACUCAACAGCACAUUUAUACACAGAACACACAAUACAUACGCGCACGACGUUGUGUGAAAUUACAAUGCGCGCUCGAUAUGAAUGUACGAGGACGUUUUAGGAUGGUUCAAUGUUGUUUUCUUGCAUGGUGUACCAAUCAGAAACAGCGUGAAUUUUAAAGCACGUGGCACACAUACACGAGAUACACCAACGUAUGCUAGGUUGUUAAAGAAAUUCGUCCAUAGCGUUGAUGCAUCUCUCAAGUAUAUGUCUUUUCGUGUUUUACGAUCGCAGCGCUACCUCAUUGGCUUGGUGUUCUGUGUCGUGACACAAAUGACGCCUUAAGAUUUCUCUUUCGAUACACAUUAAUAUAUUAAAAAGUUCUGAGGAGUUAAUCAGAAAAUCAAUACUAAUUGAUGUAUCGAAAUUUUAUUGAUAUGAAAAUAAAAAAAUCAUGAAUCACGAAAUAUUCUGAUCUCUCGAUCAACAUUUUGUAUAGAAUUUGAUCGACGAACGGAAUACCAAGCAAGUGCGUUUGGAAACUGGACGCGAGAUGGUAUACUCUCGCUUUUCGGGCAUGAAAAAGGAACUCUCGGAAGGUGAUAAAUAAUUUCGUAUUUUUUACAUGGAAAUGUAGCUUCUCUGCGUUGAAACGUAUAUUAAAUACGCGUAUACACAUAUAUACACACGGUACCGACGGAGUGCCUGCGAUUUUCGAAGAUUUUAAUGAACGUGGAGAAGAGGAGGCGCGAGCUAUACGUGAAUCACGAGAUGCAGGGAAAACGUAACCGUGCGAGAGAACGACGAAACGAGUUCUAUACGCGUGUGUUUCGACAAUUACGCCUACGUGCGUGUUAAUGUUAACGUUUAAAAAAAAGAAAACGAAAAAAAAAAAAUAUGGAUGUGUAACGAACACUAUUUCAGAGAGUUACGAUUGUAAAUCGAGGAAAAGAAAGAAAGAAAAAGAGGAUGAAGGAUACAUUGUAAAUAGUAUAAAUAGCACACGCGCAGAAGUAUGUUUAAGCGGAAAUAAAAGAUGAUAUAAUAGGUAUAAUGUGAAGAAAAUAUACAUAUAUAAGAUAUUAUUAUAUAUUAUAUAUAAACAAGAAGUAUAUAUAUAAGAUUAUUAUAUAUAUUUACCGUGGUAA